GAACAACUCCAGCUGUAUAAGCUGCUUGAAAUAUAUUUUCCAGGUGAACCCUCCUUGUGACCUCUUUGAUCAUAACAGGUGCAAGUCUCUUAGAUCUAAGCUUCUUGUGAACACACAAGAAAUUGAUCUCUGCCAUCUUCACAACAUCAUCGCGAACCCGGAUUCUAGCAGGAACACCACUGAUGAAAGCAACCAACUUCUUAGAAGCUU
rnacentral:misc_RNA from 1 species